rnacentral:rRNA from 1 species
GUCGAACGCUGGCGGCAUGCCUUACACAUGCAAGUCGAACGGCAGCACGGGAGCAAUCCUGGUGGCGAGUGGCGAACGGGUGAGUAAUAUAUCGGAACGUGCCCAGUCGUGGGGGAUAACGCAGCGAAAGCUGUGCUAAUACCGCAUACGAUCUAUGGAUGAAAGCGGGGGAUCGCAAGACCUCGCGCGAUUGGAGCGGCCGAUAUCAGAUUAGCUAGUUGGUGAGGUAAAGGCUCACCAAGGCGACGAUCUGUAGCUGGUCUGAGAGGACGACCAGCCAGACUGGAACGGAGACACGGUCCAGACUCCGACGGGAGGCAGCAGUGAGGAAUUUUGGACAAUGGGAGAAAGCCUGAUCCAGCAAUGCCGCGUGCAGGAUGAAGGCCUUCGGGUUGUAAACUGCUUUUGUACGGAACGAAACGGUGAGCUCUAAUACAGUUUGCUAAUGACGGUACCGUAAGAAUAAGCACCGGCUAACUACGUGCCAGCCGCCGCCGUAA